rnacentral:rRNA from 1 species
AUUGAACGCUGGCGGCAGGCCUAACACAUGCAAGUCGAACGAGUGGCGGACGGGUGAGUAAUGUCUGGGAAACUGCCUGAUGGAGGGGGAUAACUAAUGGAAACGGUAGCUAAUACCGCAUACUAACGGAUGUGCCCAGAUGGGAUUAGCUAGUAGGUGGGGUAACGGCUCACCUAGGCGACGAUCCCUAGCUGGUCUGAGAGGAUGACCAUCCACAAUGGAACGGAGACACGGUCCAGAUUCCUACGGGAGGCAGCAGUGGGGAAUAUUGCACAAGGGGCGCAAGCCUGAUGCAGCCAUGCCACGUGUAUGAAGAAGGCCUUCGGGUUGUAAAGUACUUUCAGCGGGGAGGCGUUACCCGCAGAAGAAGCACCGGCUAACUCCGUGCCAGCAGCCGCGGUAAUUC